GAACAAACUGUUCUGCUGAGCAAGGCAGGGACACAUCAAAGAUGCUGGCACUCCUUGGCUCUGGGGUCUGUGGGUCGCCUGUGCAGUCCUGUGAUGUGGGCAUUUACUUCCAUUUGCUAGGAGAGGAGGAAAACUAUGAGAAUGGAUCUUGGGGGAACCACAGGCACCAAGAGCUUUCUCAGGUGGUGUCAUUGGCAUAAAGACAGAACAUGAUUUUGACCUAAUUCAGAUCACCCAAUCAUGACCCCUGUGAUAUGUUUAUAACAGGAGCUAUAAAGACAGGCGAU
rnacentral:lncRNA from 1 species